UAGGGAAUUUUGCGCAAUGGACGAAAGUCUGACGCAGCAACGCCGCGUGCAGGAAGAAAGCCUUCGGGUUGUAAACUGCUUUUAUCUGUGACGAUUAUGACAGUAGCAGAUGAAUAAGGAUCGGCUAACUCCGUGCCAGCAGCCGCGGUCAUACGGAGGAUCCAAGCGUUAUCCGGAAUUACUGGGCGUAAAGAGUUGCGUAGGCGGCAUAGUAAGCAGGCAGUGAAAGCGUGUGGCUCAACCAUACAGACAUUGUCUGAACUGCUAAGCUAGAGCACGAGAGAGGUAGCUGGAAUUCCCAGUGUAGGAGUGAAAUCCGUAGAUAUUGGGAGGAACACCGAUGGCGUAGGCAGGCUACUGGCUCGUUGCUGACGCUCAGGCACGAAAGCGUGGGGAGCGAACGGGAUUAGAUACCCCCGUAGUCC
rnacentral:rRNA from 1 species